CAGGACGUAGCUCAACAGCUAAAGCCUCUCCCUUACACUGAGAAAACGCCCGUGCAAAUCGGGUCGCCCUGA
rnacentral:tRNA from 1 species